rnacentral:rRNA from 1 species
CGUGAACGCUGGCGGUAGGCCUAACACAUGCAAGUCGAACGGCAGCACAGUAAGAGCUUGCUCUUACGGGUGGCGAGUGGCGGACGGGUGCGGAAUACAUCGGAAUCUACUUUUUCGUGGGGGAUAACGUAGGGAAACUUACGCUAAUACCGCAUACGACCUACGGGUGAAAGCAGGGGAUCUUCGGACCUUGCGCGAUUGAAUGAGCCGAUGUCGGAUUAGCUAGUUGGCGGGGUAAAGGCCCACCAAGGCGACGAUCCGUAGCUGGUCUGAGAGGAUGAUCAGCCACACUGGAACUGAGACACGGUCCAGACGCCUACGGGAGGCAGCAGUGGGGAAUAUUGGACAAUGGGCGCAAGCCUGAUCCAGCCAUACCGCGUGGGUGAAGAAGGCCUUCGGGUUGUAAAGCCCUUUUGUUGGGAAAGAAAAGCAGCAGGUUAAUACCCCGCUGUUCUGACGGUACCCAAAGAAUAAGCACCGGCUAACUUCGUG